UCCAGUUCGUUCUUCAUAAAACCAUCAUUCAAUUCGUUCUUCUGAUUAUCAACAACCAAUUGAGCAGCGAAUUUGUUCCACUGAAGAUUUACUAAUCACGACACAUGAUCAGCAUGUUAUUUCAGCGAAUUUGCUAAUUCAUCAGAGCUCUCAACGACCAGGAUUACAACAUCAAGAUUCCAACGAUCAACCUGAUGUUGCAACCAAUUUGUUUGUUCCUCAGAGCACUGAACGAGCAGUAGAUCAUCAUCAAGAGGAUACCCUUUUGACAGAGACGAACGAUCAGCCCAAUGUUGCCGCCGUUUUUGAAAUUCCUCAGAGCUCUGAACCAGCAGGAGAUCAUCAUCAAGGUAUAUUUUUAAAUAAUUGUUUAUACAAAUCAGUAUUGAGUGUCGCUGUAGUGGUAAUACAUAGCUGUAUUAUAUAUUUUUUGUGUAUUUUUUAUAGUACUUAAGAAUUAUAUUUUUUUGACAGAGGGUACUCGUAUUACAGACAUGAACGAGCAGCCCGACGGUCCAGCCAAUUUGUUAACUCAUCCGAGCUCUGAACAA